CGAAGGGGGCUAGCGUUGUUCGGAAUUACUGGGCGUAAAGCGUAGGUAGGCGGUUUUUCAAGUCAGGGGUGAAAUCCCAGAGCUCAACUCUGGAAUUGCCUCUGAAACUGAAAGGCUAGAGAAAGUUAGAGGCAAGUGGAAUUCCUAGUGUAGGAGUGAAAUCCGUAGAUAUUAGGAGGAACAUCAAUGGCGAAGGCAGCUUGCUGGGACUUUUCUGACGCUGAGCUACGAAAGCGUGGGUAGCAAACAGGAUUAGAUACCCUGGUAGUCCACGCCCUAAACGAUGGAUGCUAGAUGUCGGGACGUAAGUUUCGGUAUCGUAGCUAACGCGUUAAGCAUCCCGCCUGGGGAGUACGGUCGCAAGAUUA
rnacentral:rRNA from 1 species